AGAACGAACGCUGGCGGCAUGCCUAACACAUGCAAGUCGAACGAGACCUUCGGGUCUAGUGGCGCACGGGUGCGUAACGCGUGGGAAUCUGCCCUUGGGUUCGGAAUAACAGUUGGAAACGACUGCUAAUACCGGAUGAUGACGUAAGUCCAAAGAUUUAUCGCCCAGGGAUGAGCCCGCGUAGGAUUAGCUAGUUGGUGAGGUAAAGGCUCACCAAGGCGACGAUCCUUAGCUGGUCUGAGAGGAUGAUCAGCCACACUGGGACUGAGACACGGCCCAGACUCCUACGGGAGCAGCAGUGGGAAUAUGGACAAUGGCGAAAGCCUGAUCCAGCAAUGCCGCGUGAGUGAUGGAGGCCUUAGGGUUGUAAAGUCUCGUUUUAACCCGGGAAGAUAAUGACUGUAACCGGAGAAUAAGCUCGGCUAACGUCCCGCGCCAGCGAGACCGC
rnacentral:rRNA from 1 species